AUAUUAUUAAGCGGAGGAAAAGAAACUAACAAGGAUUCCCCUAGUAACGGCGAGUGAAGCGGGAAAAGCUCAAUGUUAAAAUCGGGGUACUUAGCGGUAUUCCCGAAUUGUAAUCUAGAGACAUAAGCCCAGGUGCAACGCAGGUAUAAGUACGUUUGGAAGACUACGCCAGAGAGGGUGAGAACCCCGUCUUUGACUUGCAGUUUGUACUGUACGGGUCGUGCUCAACGAGUCGCAUUGCUUGGGAGUGCAGUGCUAAAUGGGUGGUAAAUUUCAUCUAAAGCUAAAUACUCACGAGAGACCGAUAGCGCACAAGUA
rnacentral:rRNA from 1 species